ACGUACAUCACGUGGCGGGAACGGCUGUUUUUCUAGAGAACAAUUUAGAACACCAACUUUGUUACGUAUGCACAGCUACUCUUUUAUACAUAUAUAAAAUACUAGCUGUUGCAGCUCCGCCCGCGGUAGUCUAUAUUUGACAUCGGACCAUCAACUAUAUCUAUACCAAAUUUUAUCAAAAUCGAACCAGCGGUAUAGCCGUAAAAGCGUGACAGACUUUCGUGUUUAUAAUGUUUCUAUUUUGAUAUGUAGGGAAACCGGGGCAGUAAGAAGUCCGGGGCAAGACGGGAAGUGUGGUUUUGUGCAUGGCUAGUAAACACAACAGAGUCGAACGCAGCGCCAGUUGCGCGUAGAGCAAGGGCCUCACAUGAGUCCGCGCAGCGCGUUCGUGUCAGUUCGUAUUUCGCUGUGCGGCAAACAAAAAUUAAAAUGAUAUGUAAUUACAAACGUAAAACAGAUCGUGGAACGAAAAAUUAUGAGAAGAGCAGUUAGAGCUGUGCUUUUUGAGACAAUGGGAUUCCUUCGGACAGCGACAGCGACAAAUGGCGUGCCUAAAUGAACCUUGGAACGACGGGUAAGAAUGGCUCGAAGUAAUCAAGAUGCUGAAACUGAUUCAGUUAAUGACUAUGGCAAAAGGAAUUAGGACGGUACAAAACAGUUUUUAAUGAGGAACAGGAAGAAGAGUUAUCACGAUAUGUAAAAUCAAUGGAAGCACGUCUAUUUGCUCACUCACUCAACUCAAAAAUCACUGGAAAAACUUCCCAUUUUAGCUUUCCAGUUAGCUUAGCGCAAUCAUAUUGAAAUCUAAGAUUGAUAACCAAAAAAUAAACAAACAAAAGACUGAAAAAAAAAGAAACUUGCAAAGAAAAAGACUGGAAAGAAAAGAUCAGUCAAACAUAAUAAAAACAAAAAACGCAAAAAAGCAAGUGAUGCCGAUACUAGUUCGUCUGAAGUCGAUGAAAAUGAUUGUGCUUGCAUAAAUUGUGGGUACCUUUAUUCAAAAUCUACUGAGGGAUGGAUUAUUUAUGCUCUAUGCCAAGGCUGGGCCCAUAAUUCCUGCGCAGGUAAACGAGGAAGACGAAGAGGCUCACAUAUGUGAACAUUUCCAAUCAGAUUAAAAUGUGUACUCGUUAUGCCCCAUGGCGUUUCCCAUUUUUCCCCGAUCAAAGGGCAAUACGGAUUUUUUAAAUUAUUCUAUUUAGUUCCUAUUUGCCUAAAAAAUAUGUGAUUUAGCGCCGUAAAAGAUUAUAAUUAUGUUAAUUAGAAGUAUAAUUGUUAUUUUCAUUGUAAAAGAUUAUUUUUAGUAAACCGUUUGAUUUUCAUAUUA